AUUCCAGCUCCAAUAGCGUAUACUAAAGUUGUUGCAGUUAAAAAGCUCGUAGUUGAAUUUCUGGUCGUGGCGACCGGUCCGCCCCUCACGGGGUGUGCACCUGGUCUCUACGUCCAUCCUCGGGGAGAGCGCGUCUGGCAUUCAGUUGUCGGGCGCGGGAUCCUCGUCAUUUACUGUGAGCAAAAUAGAGUGUUCAAAGCAGGCUUAGGCCGUUGAAUACAUUAGCAUGGAAUAAUAAGAUAGGACCUUGGUCUAUUUUGUUGGUUUGCAUUCCAAGGUAAUGAUUAAUAGGGAUAGUUGGGGGUAUUCGUAUUCAAUUGUCAGAGGUGAAAUUCUUGGAUUUAUGGAAGACGAACUACUGCGAAAGCAUUUACCAAGGAUGUUUUCAUCA
rnacentral:rRNA from 1 species